rnacentral:rRNA from 1 species
UACGUAGGGGGCAAGCGUUGUCCGGAAUCAUUGGGCGUAAAGAGCGCGUAGGCGGUCCGGUAAGUCAGCUGUGAAAGUCAAGGGCUCAACCCUUGAAAGCCGGUUGAUACUGUCGGGCUAGAGUCCGGAAGAGGCGAGUGGAAUUCCCGGUGUAGCGGUGAAAUGCGCAGAUAUCGGGAGGAACACCAAUGGCGAAGGCAGCUCGCUGGGACGGUACUGACGCUGAGACGCGAAAGCUAGGGGAGCAAACGGG